rnacentral:rRNA from 1 species
AUAGCGUAUAUUAAAGUUGUUGCAGUUAAAAAGCUCGUAGUUGAACUUCAGAUUUGGUCGGGUGGUCCGCUUAACGGCGUGUUACUGCUUGGCUGGGUCUUGUCUCUUGGUGAACCAUUGUGCCCUUUAUUGGUGUGCUUUGGGGAACCAGGACUUUUACCUUGAGAAAAUUAGAGUGUUCAAAGCAGGCCUAUGCCUGGAUACAUUAGCAUGGAAUAAUAGAAUAGGACGUGUGGUUCUAUUUUGUUGGUUUCUAGAAUUGCCGUAAUGAUUAAUAGGGAUAGUUGGGGGCAUUAGUAUUCAGUUGCUAGAGGUGAAAUUCUUGGAUUUACUGAAGACUAACUAUUG